GAAAUGCGAUAAGUAGUGUGAAUUGCAGAAUUCAGUGAAUCAUCGAAUCUUUGAACGCACAUUGCGCUUCCUGGUAUUCCGGGGAGCAUGCCCGUUUCAGAAUCAUUAAAAUCUCACCAGGGUUGAGCUUUUCGGAGCGCAGCUUUUUGAGUGGAUUUGGAUGUUUUGUUUCGACAAUCAUCUUAAAAUGAUAGUGUGUGCAUCCAUCGAACGUUCGAUGGGUUACCAAAGUGCAACAGAUUUUUCUAUUUCGCUUUGGGAGCUUAUUGAAUUGGAUGGGAGCGUAUACCCAACCUCUUAACAAACGUCUUGCCCUUGGGUAAAACAUUUGAUAACUUGGUCUGAAAUCGGGCAAGAAAACCCGCUGAACUUAA
rnacentral:misc_RNA from 1 species